rnacentral:rRNA from 1 species
AGAGUUUGAUCCUGGCUCAGAUUGAACGCUGGCGGAAUGCUUUACACAUGCAAGUCGAGCGGCAGCGCGGGGCAACCUGGCGGCGAGCGGCGAACGGGUGAGUAAUGCAUCGGAACAUGUCCAUGUCGUGGGGGAUAGCCCGGCGAAAGCCGGAUUAAUACCGCAUACGCCCUUAGGGGGAAAGCCGGGGACCGCAAGGCCUGGCGCGAUUGGGUUGGCCGAUGUCCGAUUAGCUAGUUGGCGGGGUAAAAGCCCACCAAGGCGAUGAUCGGUAGCUGGUCUGAGAGGAUGAUCAGCCACACUGGGACUGAGACACGGCCCAGACUCCUACGGGAGGCAGCAGUGGGGAAUUUUGGACAAUGGGGGAAACCCUGAUCCAGCCAUUCCGCGUGAGUGAAGAAGGCCUUCGGGUUGUAAAGCUCUUUUGUCCGGAGCGA